AGGGAUAUAGCUCAGUGGCACAGCGCCUGCCUUGUAAGCAGAAGGUCCUGAGUUCAAUUCCUGGUACUCCUA
rnacentral:tRNA from 1 species